rnacentral:rRNA from 1 species
GGUAAGGCCUUUCGGGGUACACGAGCGGCGAACGGGUGAGUAACACGUGGGUGACCUGCCCUCCACUCUGGGAUAAGCCUGGGAAACUGGGUCUAAUACCGGAUAUGACCACAUGUCGCAUGGUGUGUGGUGGAAAGCUUUAUGUGGUGGGGGAUGGACCCGCGGCCUAUCAGCUUGUUGGUGGGGUAAUGGCCUACCAAGGCGACGACGGGUAGCCGGCCUGAGAGGGCGACCGGCCACACUGGGACUGAGACACGGCCCAGACUCCUACGGGAGGCAGCAGUGGGGAAUAUUGCACAAUGGGCGAAAGCCUGAUGCAGCGACGCCGCGUGAGGGAUGACGGCCUUCGGGUUGUAAACCUCUUUCAGCAGGGACGAAGCGAGAGUGACGGUACCUGCAGAAGAAGCACCGGCCAACUACGUGCCAGCAGCCGCGGUAAUACGUAGGGUGCGAGCGUUGUCCGGAAUUACUGGGCGUAAAGAGCUCGUAGGCGGUUUGUCACGUCGGCUGUGAAAACCCAUCGCUCAACGGUGGGCUUGCAGUCGAUACGGGCUGACUUGAGUACUGCAGGGGAGACUGGAAUUCCUGGUGUAGCGGUGAAAUGCGCAGAUAUCAGGAGGAACACCGGUGGCGAAGGCGGGUCUCUGGGCAGUAACUGACGCUGAGGAGCGAAAGCGUGGGUAGCGAACAGGAUUAGAUACCCUGGUAGUCCACGCCGUAAACGGUGGGUGCUAGGUGUGGGUUUCCUUCCACGGGAUCCGUGCCGUAGCUAACGCAUUAAGCACCCCGCCUGGGGAGUACGGCCGCAAGGCUAAAACUCAAAGGAAUUGACGGGGGCCCGCACAAGCGGCGGAGCAUGU